UACGUAGGGUGCAGGCGUUAAUCGGAAUUACUGGGCGUAAAGCGUGCGCAGGCGGUUUGCUAAGACAGGUGUGAAAUCCCCGGGCUUAACCUGGGAACUGCGCUUGUUACUGGCAAGCUUGAGUGUGGCAGAGGGGGGUGGAAUUCCACGUGUAGCAGUGAAAUGCGUAGAUAUCUGGAGGAACACCGGUGGCGAAGGCGGCAUCCUGGACCGGCAUUGACGCUGAGGCGCGAAAGCCAGGGGAGCAAACGGG
rnacentral:rRNA from 1 species